rnacentral:rRNA from 1 species
UGCGAUAAGUGGUGUGAUACGCUAGUUCACAACUUACAAGUGAACCAUCGAGUCCUCGAACGCAUUGCACCGCCCUUUAUGGGAGUGGUAUGUCGGAUUGAGCGUCAUGCAUGAUAAGACUUUGGUCAUUUGUGGGGUCACCCACAUCUGCUCCAUCUCGAGGUCUGCGGCACUGGUCGUGUUCCUUUGGAUCAAUGAGCUAUACCUCCUGGUUGGGCAUUCCCUCCAUGCUAAUGCUGCUGGAGCUAGGCCAAGCCAGUGUGGGUGAGCUUCAAGCUGGCCUUCUUGGGCUGCACAACCUGUGCAAAGGCAAUCCCUUGCCAAUGCUUGCUGACCUCAGUCCGAUAGGAUUACCCGCUCGAUUUAAGCAUAUUAAUCAGCGGAGGAAAAGAAACUAACAAGGAUUUCCUCAGUAACUGCGAGUGAACAGGAACCAGCUCAACGUGUGAAUCCCACAGGCUUUGUCUGCUGGGAGUUGUGCACUAAGGAUGCGUCGUCUGCGUUGGUUUGGCUCACCUAAGUCGGAUGAAAUGCCGUGCCAGAGAGGGUAACAGCCCCGUUCAUGGUGAUCGCCUGCCAGCUGCUUUUAUGACACGCGCUCCACGAGUCGUGUAGUUUCGAAGUACUGCACUAAUAUGGGAGGUAGGAUCCUUCCAAAGCUAAAUAUGGCGACGUGACCGAUAGCAUACUAGUACCGCGAGGGAACGGUGAAAAGGAUCUMUUAUGCAGACCUUGAAACAGACGUGAAAGUGCUUCAGGGAUAAGGGUUGUCCGAGCCUAGAUUUUGUUGAUGCGUGCUUCAGUGCUGCUCAGCGCAACGGCCAGCGGGCAUUGGCACUCACCGUACCUCGUGCAACUGGAACGUCCCACGCGGGCUUGCUUGUGUGGUGNCUGGCCAAACGUGCUUGGGGUGGGNUUGAUGGCCUGUCCA